ensembl:misc_RNA Y_RNA Y RNA
GGCUGGUCCGAAGGUAGUGAGUUAUCUCACUUGAUUGUUCAGUUACAGAUUGAACUCCUUGUUCUAAUCUUUCCCCCUUCUCACUACUGUACUUGACUAGUAUUAA